GGCCCCUUAGCUCAGUGGUUAGAGCAGUCGACUCAUAAUCGAUUGGUCAUGUGUUCAAGUCACAUAGGGGCCACCA
rnacentral:tRNA from 21 species